rnacentral:rRNA from 1 species
AUGGUUAAGUUAGAAAGGGCGCACGGUGAAUGCCUUGGCACUAGGAGCCGAUGAAGGACGGGACUAACACCGAUAUGCUUCGGGGAGCUGUAAGUGAGCUUUGAUCCGGAGAUUUCCGAAUGGGGAAACCCACUGUUCGUAAUGGAACAGUAUCUUUAUCUGAAUACAUAGGAUAUUGAAGGCAGACCCGGGGAACUGAAACAUCUAAGUACCCGGAGGAAGAGAAAGCAAAUGCGAUUUCCUGAGUAGCGGCGAGCGAAACGGAAUUAGCCCAAACCAAGAGGCUUGCCUCUUGGGGUUGUAGGACACUCUAUACGGAGUUACAAAGGAACGAAGUAAAUGAAGCGACCUGGAAAGGUCCGUCGAAGAAGGUAACAACCCUGUAGUUGAAACUUCGUUCCCUCUUGAGUGGAUCCUGAGUACGGCGGAACACGUGAAAUUCCGUCGGAAGCUGGGAGGACCAUCUCCCAAGGCUAAAUACUACCUAGUGACCGAUAGUGAACCAGUACCGUGAGGGAAAGGUGAAAAGCACCCCGGAAGGGGAGUGAAAGAGAUCCUGAAACCGUGUGCCUACAAGUAGUCAGAGCCCGUUAACGGGUGAUGGCGUGCCUUUUGUAGAAUGAACCGGCGAGUUACGAUCCCAUGCAAGGUUAAGCUGAUAAGGCGGAGCCGUAGCGAAAGCGAGUCUGAAUAGGGCGUUUAGUAUGUGGUUGUAGACCCGAAACCAGGUGAUCUACCCAUGUCCAGGGUGAAGUUCAGGUAACACUGAAUGGAGGCCCGAACCCACGCACGUUGAAAAGUGCGGGGAUGAGGUGUGGGUAGCGGAGAAAUUCCAAUCGAACCUGGAGAUAGCUGGUUCUCUCCGAAAUAGCUUUAGGGCUAGCCUCAUGUUGUGAGAGUCUUGGAGGUAGAGCACUGAUUGGACUAGGGGCCCCCAACGGGUUACCGAAUUCAGUCAAACUCCGAAUGCCAAAGACUUAUCCAUGGGAGUCAGACUGCGAGUGAUAAGAUCCGUAGUCAAAAGGGAAACAGCCCGGACCACCAGCUAAGGUCCCCAAGUAUACGUUAAGUGGAAAAGGAUGUGGAGUUGCUUAGACAACCAGGAUGUUGGCUUAGAAGCAGCCACCAUUUAAAGAGUGCGUAAUAGCUCACUGGUCGAGUGACUCUGCGCCGAAAAUGUACCGGGGCUAAACGUAUCACCGAAGCUGUGGAUUGACAUCUUUGAUGUCAGUGGUAGGAGAGCGUUCUAAGUGCAGCGAAGUCAGACCGUAAGGACUGGUGGAGCGCUUAGAAGUGAGAAUGCCGGUAUGAGUAGCGAAAGACAAGUGAGAAUCUUGUCCACCGAAUGCCUAAGGUUUCCUGAGGAAGGCUCGUCCGCUCAGGGUUAGUCGGGACCUAAGCCGAGGCUGAAAAGCGUAGGCGAUGGCCAACAGGUUGAUAUUCCUGUACCACCUCCCCGCCGUUUGAGUAAUGGGGGGACGCAGUAGGAUAGGGUAAGCGCGCUGCUGGAUAUGCGCGUUCAAGCAGUUAGGCUGAUGAGUAGGCAAAUCCGCUCAUCAUAAAGGCUGAGCUGUGAUGACGAGGGAAUUAUAGUACCGAAGUUCCUGAUUCCACACUGCCAAGAAAAGCCUCUAGCGAGGCGGGAGGUGCCCGUACCGCAAACCGACACAGGUAGGCGAGGAGAGAAUCCUAAGGUGAUCGAGAGAACUCUCGUUAAGGAACUCGGCAAAAUGACCCCGUAACUUCGGGAGAAGGGGUGCUCUGGUAGGGUGUAUAGCCCGAGAGAGCCGCAGUGAAUAGGCCCAGGCGACUGUUUAGCAAAAACACAGGUCUCUGCGAAGCCGCAAGGCGAAGUAUAGGGGCUGACGCCUGCCCGGUGCUGGAAGGUUAAGAGGAGGGGUUAUCCUUUGGGAGAAGCUCUGAAUCGAAGCCCCAGUAAACGGCGGCCGUAACUAUAACGGUCCUAAGGUAGCGAAAUUCCUUGUCGGGUAAGUUCCGACCCGCACGAAAGGCGUAACGAUCUGGGCACUGUCUCAACGAGAGACUCGGUGAAAUUAUAGUACCUGUGAAGAUGCAGGUUACCCGCGACAGGACGGAAAGACCCCGUGGAGCUUUACUGUAGCCUGAUAUUGAAUUUUGGUACAGCUUGUACAGGAUAGGUAGGAGCCUGAGAAGCCGGAGCGCUAGCUUCGGUGGAGGCGUCGGUGGGAUACUACCCUGGCUGUAUUGAAAUUCUAACCCGCGGCCCUUAUCGGGCCGGGAGACAGUGUCAGGUGGGCAGUUUGACUGGGGCGGUCGCCUCCUAAAAUGUAACGGAGGCGCCCAAAGGUUCCCUCAGAAUGGUUGGAAAUCAUUCGUAGAGUGUAAAGGCACAAGGGAGCUUGACUGCGAGACCUACAAGUCGAGCAGGGACGAAAGUCGGGCUUAGUGAUCCGGUGGUUCCGCAUGGAAGGGCCAUCGCUCAACGGAUAAAAGCUACCCCGGGGAUAACAGGCUUAUCUCCCCCAAGAGUCCACAUCGACGGGGAGGUUUGGCACCUCGAUGUCGGCUCAUCGCAUCCUGGGGCUGUAGUCGGUCCCAAGGGUUGGGCUGUUCGCCCAUUAAAGCGGUACGCGAGCUGGGUUCAGAACGUCGUGAGACAGUUCGGUCCCUAUCCGUCGUGGGCGUAGGAAAUUUGAGAGGAGCUGUCCUUAGUACGAGAGGACCGGGAUGGACACACCGCUGGUGUACCAGUUGUCUUGCCAAAGGCAUCGCUGGGUAGCUAUGUGUGGACGGGAUAAGUGCUGAAAGCAUCUAAGCAUGAAGCCCCCCUCAAGAUGAGAUUUCCCAUAGCGCAAGCUAGUAAGAUCCCUGAAAGAUGAUCAGGUUGAUAGGUCAGAGGUGGAAGCGUGGCGACAUGUGUAGCUGACUGAUACUAAUCGAUCGAGGACUUAACCAAA